GACGAACGCUGGCGGCGUGCUUAACACAUGCAAGUCGAACGGAAAGGCCCUGCUUUUGUGGGGUGCUCGAGUGGCGAACGGGUGAGUAACACGUGAGUAACCUGCCCUUGACUUUGGGAUAACUUCAGGAAACUGGGGCUAAUACCGGAUAGGAGCUCCUGCUGCAUGGUGGGGGUUGGAAAGUUUCGGCGGUUGGGGAUGGACUCGCGGCUUAUCAGCUUGUUGGUGGGGUAGUGGCUUACCAAGGCUUUGACGGGUAGCCGGCCUGAGAGGGUGACCGGCAACAUUGGGACAGAGAUACGGCCCAGACUCCUACGGGAGGCAGCAGUGGGGAAUAUUGCACAAUGGGCGGAAGCCUGAUGCAGCAACGCCGCGUGCGGGAUGACGGCCUUCGGGUUGUAAACCGCUUUCGCCUGUGACGAAGCGUGAGUGACGGUAAUGGGUAAAGAAGCACCGGCUAACUACGUG
rnacentral:rRNA from 1 species